rnacentral:rRNA from 1 species
GGCGGACGGCUGAGUAACGCGUGGGAAUCUGCCCCGAAGUGAGGGAUAACUGCUCGAAAGAGUAGCUAAUACCGCAUAUGAUCUACGGAUUAAAGCUUCGGCGCUUCGGGAGGAGCCCGCGUCAGAUUAGGUAGUUGGUGAGGUAAUGGCUCACCAAGCCGAUGAUCUGUAACUGGUUUGAGAGGAUGAUCAGUCAGACUGGAACUGAGAUACGGUCCAGACUCCUACGGGAGGCAGCAGUUAGGAAUAUUCCACAAUGGGGGCAACCCUGAUGGAGCAACGCCGCGUGGAGGAUGAAGGCCUUCGGGUCGUAAACUUCUUUUCUAUGUGAAGAAUAUGACGGUAACAUAGGAAUAAGGGUCUGCUAACUACGUGCCAGCAGCCGCGGUCAUACGUAGGACCCAAGCGUUAUCCGGAUUGACUGGGCGUAAAGAGUUGCGUAGGUGGUUUAAUAAGCGAAUAGUGAAAUCUUGUGGCUCAACCAUAAGGCUAUUAUUCGAACUAUUAAACUCGAGAAGAGGAGAGGUAUCUGGAAUUCCCAGUGUAGGAGUGAAAUCCGUAGAUAUUGGGAGGAACACCAAUGGCGUAGGCAGGAUACUGGACUCUUUCUGACACUAAGGCACGAAAGCGUGGGGAGCGAACCGGAUUAGAUACCCGGGUAGUCC